ACGGAGGGUGCAAGCGUUAAUCGGAAUUACUGGGCGUAAAGCGCGCGUAGGCGGAUUGGUCAGUCGGAUGUGAAAGCCCAGGGCUCAACCUUGGAACUGCAUUCGAUACUGCCAAUCUAGAGUACGAGAGAGGGGGGUAGAAUUCAUGGUGUAGCGGUGAAAUGCGUAGAUAUCAUGAGGAAUACCGGUGGCGAAGGCGGCCCCCUGGCUCGAUACUGACGCUGAGGUGCGAAAGCGUGGGGAGCAAACAGG
rnacentral:rRNA from 1 species